AAGUCAAGCGGAGUAGCAAUACUUAGCGGCGAACGGGUGAGUAACACGUGGGUAAUCUUCCUCCGAAUCUGGGAUAACUUUCCGAAAGGAAAGCUAAUACCGGAUAGUUCUAUUGGAUCACAGGAUUUGAUAGAUAAAGGUUUACUGUUCGGAGAUGAGCCCGCGGCCGAUUAGCUAGUUGGUGAGGUAAUGGCUCACCAAGGCGACGAUCGGUAGCCGGCCUGAGAGGGUGUCCGGCCACAAUGGAACUGAGACACGGUCCAUACUCCUACGGGAGGCAGCAGGUUAAGAA
rnacentral:rRNA from 1 species